rnacentral:rRNA from 1 species
GACCGGCCACACUGGGACUGAGACACGGCCCAGACUCCUACGGGAGGCAGCAGUGGGGAAUAUUGCACAAUGGGCGCAAGCCUGAUGCAGCGACGCCGCGUGAGGGAUGACGGCCUUCGGGUUGUAAACCUCUUUCAGUAGGGAAGAAGCGUAAGUGACGGUACCUGCAGAAGAAGCGCCGGCUAACUACGUGCCAGCAGCCGCGGUAAUACGUAGGGCGCAAGCGUUAUCCGGAAUUAUUGGGCGUAAAGAGCUCGUAGGCGGUUUGUCGCGUCUGCUGUGAAAGACCGGGGCUCAACUCCGGUUCUGCAGUGGGUACGGGCAGACUAGAGUGCAGUAGGGGAGACUGGAAUUCCUGGUGUAGCGGUGAAAUGCGCAGAUAUCAGGAGGAACACCGAUGGCGAAGGCAGGUCUCUGGGCUGUAACUGACGCUGAGGAGCGAAAGCAUGGGGAGCGAACAGGAUUAGAUACCCUGGUAGUCCAUGCCGUAAACGUUGGGCACUAGGUGUGGGGGACAUUCCACGUUUUCCGCGCCGUAGCUAACGCAUUAAGUGCCCCGCCUGGGGAGUACGGCCGCAAGGCUAAAACUCAAAGGAAUUGACGGGGGCCCGCACAAGCGGCGGAGCAUGCGGAUUAAUUCGAUGCAACGCGAAGAACCUUACCAAGGCUUGACAUGAACCGGAAAGACCUGGAAACAGGUGCCCCGCUUGCGGUCGGUUUACAGGUGGUGCAUGGUUGUCGUCAGCUCGUGUCGUGAGAUGUUGGGUUAAGUCCCGCAACGAGCGCAACCCUCGUUCUAUGUUGCCAGCGGUUCGGCCGGGGACUCAUAGGAGACUGCCGGGGUCAACUCGGAGGAAGGUGGGGACGACGUCAAAUCAUCAUGCCCCUUAUGUCUUGGGCUUCACGCAUGCUACAAUGGCCGGUACAAAGGGUUGCGAUACUGUGAGGUGGAGCUAAUCCCAAAAAGCCGGUCUCAGUUCGGAUUGGGGUCUGCAACUCGACCCCAUGAAGUCGGAGUCGCUAGUAAUCGCAGAUCAGCAACGCUGCGGUGAAUACGUUCCCGGGCCUUGUACACACCGC